ACAACAUUUGGACCGUCGGUCUACCCAGCAAAUAUUACCAGCUCGGUGGAAGAUCUUCCCUUUGUCGU
rnacentral:pre_miRNA from 1 species